rnacentral:rRNA from 1 species
UACGUAGGCAGCGAGCGUUGUUCGGAAUUACUGGGCGUAAAGAGUGUGUAGGCGGUGUUUUCAGUCUGUUGUGAAAUCUCCCGGCUUAACUGGGAGGGUGCAGCGGAAACUAGAAUGCUAGAGGGUGGGAGAGGUAAGCGGAAUUCCUGGUGUAGCGGUGAAAUGCGUAGAUAUCAGGAGGAACACCAGUGGUGUAGACAGCUUACUGGACCACUUCUGACGCUGAGACACGAAAGCGUGGGUAGCAAACAGG